rnacentral:rRNA from 1 species
GAUGAACGCUGGCGGCGUGCUUAAUACAUGCAAGUCGAACGAAAAGACGAGGAUCUGGCUCCUCGACCGUUGCGGGCGGGCGGGAGAGUAACGUGUGGUUACCUUCCCUUUAGGAUUGGUUUAACUUAGGGAAACUGAUGCUAAUACGGAAUAAUUUAUUGACCGGCAGGGUUCAAUAGUGAAGGACGGUUUUGCUGUAAUUGCUGAUUGGAUCCGCGCCGCAUUAGCUAGUUGGUAAGGUAACGGCUUACCAAGGCAACGAUGCGUAGCCGACCUGAGAGGGUGAUCGGCCACACUGGAACUGAGACACGGUCCAGACUCCUACGGGAGGCAGCAGUAGGGAAUCUUCCGCAAUGGGCGAAAGCCUGACGGAGCAACGCCGCGUGAGUGAUGAAGGUCUUCGGAUCGUAAAACUCUGUUAUUAGGGAAGAACAAAUGUGUAAGUAACUAUGCACGUCUUGACGGUACCUAAUCAGAAAGCCACGGCUAACUACGUG